rnacentral:tRNA from 1 species
CGCGGGGUGGAGCAGCCUGGUAGCUCGUCGGGCUCAUAACCCGAGGGUCGUCAGUUCAAAUCUGGCCCCCGCAACCA